CUGAACAGUCUCUCCUGGAUGCCAUCAGAGGUUGAGGGCUCAGGCUUCGCUGGACACUCAAAGCUCCUGCGGUGGCAGGGCUGCCAGGAAGGUGUGCGGGGACUCCUCACUGUCUCUGUUGGACCUUAACAUUCAAGACGCAGUCAUGAAGUUCCACUAGCCUCUCGACUCAUGCUUGGGAAGGA
ensembl:lincRNA